CUUUUUUCUUCCAGUCAAUUUUUUCUUUGAUCUACAGAACUUGCUUCUUUUCUCUGAAGUUUUCACAAUACAGCAUGAUAGAAGGAGCACAGAGUGCCAGAGGCAGGGAAUUCCUAUGCUUCACUAGUGACUCAUAAGAAAACUUAAUAGAAGGUCUCUACUGCCUGCUGGCCCUGCAGUACCUGAUUGAUGUGGUCCCAAACUAAAGUAGGCUAACCUUCAUUGAACCAAGCACUUCAGAGCCAUGGGAAGAAGUAUGGGGGAAGGAGUCCUUGUACUCUGGCAAUGAGGAAAACAAACAUUAACAGUGCAAGACACAGUGAGAGUCACAGAUCCAUGGAUGGACGAUCCUUUUGAGGACAAUAGAGGGGGAAUUUGGAUAAGUUUCCUGAGUGAGAAACCUUCCAGAUGGCAAUCUGAAAGUUAGCUGUUCCUUCUCAAAACACAGAGCUUUCUCAAGAGAAAGAUAACACCCUCUUUCAUCAGAGCGAGCGAGCUUUCUUCAUGGUGGCAAUUUCCAGUCUCCAGUGCAAGGAGGGGAAACUGAAGGAGAAUAAGGCGGUUACAUUCAGUUAGAGCCUGAGAGCAGAAUUUGGUUAGGCUGAAGCAGCUGGAAACUGUGGAAUGUAAUACCAGAGAGGAGACUGCCACACAAAGAACUCUAAAAAUG
rnacentral:lncRNA from 10 species